rnacentral:misc_RNA from 1 species
GAUGAAGAACGCAGCGAAAUGCGAUAAGUAAUGUGAAUUGCAGAAUUCAGUGAAUCAUCGAAUCUUUGAACGCACAUUGCGCCCGCCAGUAUUCUGGCGGGCAUGUCUGUUCGAGCGUCAUUACAACCCUCAGGCCCCCGGGCCUGGCGUUGGGGAUCGGCGGAAGCCCCCUGCGGGCACAACGCCGUCCCCCAAAUACAGUGGCGGUCCCGCCGCAGCUUCCAUUGCGUAGUAGCUAACACCUCGCAACUGGAGAGCGGCGCGGCCACGCCGUAAAACACCCAACUUCUGAAUGUUGACCUCGAAUCAGGUAGGAAUACCCGCUGAACUUAAGCAUAUCAAUAAGCGGAGGA